AUUGAACGCUGGCGGCAGGCCUAACACAUGCAAGUCGAGCGAGCGGCGGACGGGUGAGUAAUGUCUGUGAAACUGCCUGAUGGAGGGGGCUAACUACUGGAAACGGUAGCUAAUACCGCAUACCAUCAGAUGUGCCCAGAUGUGAUUAGCUAGUAGGUGGGGUAACGGCUCACCUAGGCGACGAUCCCUAGCUGGUCUGAGAGGAUGACAAGCCACAAUGGAACUGAGACACGGUCCAGACUCCUACGGGAGGCAGCAGUGGGGAAUAUUGCACAAUGGGCGCAAGCAUGAUGAAGCCAUGCCGCGUGGAUGAAGAAGGCCUGCGGGUUGUAAAGUACUUUCAGCGGGGAGGCGUUACCCGCAGAAGAAGCACCGGCUAACUCCGUGCCAGCCGCCGCGGUAAUAC
rnacentral:rRNA from 1 species